AACGAACGCUGGCGGCAUGCCUAACACAUGCAAGUCGAACGAGACCUUCGGGUCUAGUGGCGCACGGGUGCGUAACGCGUGGGAACCUGCCCUUAGGUUCGGAAUAACUCCCCGAAAGGGGUGCUAAUACCGGAUAAUGUCUUCGGACCAAAGAUUUAUCGCCUUUGGAUGGGCCCGCGUUGGAUUAGCUAGUUGGUAGGGUAAAAGCCUACCAAGGCGACGAUCCAUAGCUGGUCUGAGAGGAUGAUCAGCCACCCUGGGAAUGAGAACCGGCCCAGACUCCUACGGGAGGGCGGAGGGGGGAAUAAUGGGACAGGGGGGAAAGGCCGACGCCGCCAUGCCGGGGGAAGGAUGAAGGGCUUAGGAGUGGAAAAUCCUUUUUACCGGGGAGAUAAUGACGGGACCCGGGGAAGAAGCCCCGGCUAAACUCGUG
rnacentral:rRNA from 1 species